rnacentral:lncRNA from 1 species
AUGAGUCUACUCAACAUAAGGACCAUGAGGAUAAAAAUCUUUAUGAGGAUCCACUUCCACUUCAUGAAUAGAUUGGGAGGCCUGGAAGAAAAAGAUCUGGCUAUGUUAAUAGAGAUUCUUUACAGAUGCACCUGUCCCUCCACCAAGGACAACUUUGCAGGACCAUUUCAAGAUACAGCAAAGAAACAUGUUUUGGGAUGAAGAAACCAUCACACGAAUAUACUGUAAAUAAAUUACCCUGUGGACACUCCGAUUUCUGAGAAGGACCGUCUGAUCUCAUUGUCUAUGUGCUUCUUUAUCUCCAUGUAGACCGUCUACCAACAGGAAUAGACUGGUAUGCCAGUUUGCUUUAUCAGC